ensembl:lncRNA
ACAGACAAUUUAAUAAGCGAAGGAAAGACAAAAAAACAACAGAAAAAACAAGCUGACAUAAAAGCUACCUCUCACCAGCAGACCGAUGAUGAGCCACUCAACCUCUACUUUAGAAAGAAUAUUUUCUAGUUUUAUUGUGGAGCAUGAUCUUAUCUGUCAUGGAAUAUGCCUUUUGUCAUUUUAGGUCAGCUGUCCUGGCUGCGUCCCCAGCCAGCUUCUUGUUUAUUCUUGAGUUGUCACAACUGUUUUAGUCACAAGUCCAAAACCCAGUGCCAUAUGAAGAAAAUAAUCUUCAUGCCAACCAGACACUGUGAAGUAAAAUAUGAUUUUAAGCUUUUAAAUCCGAAGUUAUAUCAGCUAUCAUGGGGAAAAUGGAUAUGGCUCUUUGCAAGUGUAUCAGUUCCAGUGCUGAGACCUUGUGUGGAGGACAUCUGAUCAUCAAGUUUUUGUGAUGGAAACUGGUGUCUGUUGAACUUGACAUAAGUGUGGACCGUACAGUCUUCAGUGGGAAAGGGAGGGCAGUGAGUUGGGGCAGCCAUGCCCUGUCUGGGAGUGGAAUUCCUUCUCCUUGAUCAAUGGCCUGGUCUGAGAGGUACAGGGAUGGUACAGACUGGAGAGCACUGGAACUGCACCACUGGGAGUAUUCUAAGAUUACCUCAACUACUGAUCACCUCGCUAAGUGGUUGCUUCACCCAACUGUGGCCAGAAUGGGAAGUGUUGUGACUGAAGUCAAUUAUCUUGAAGUCCUUGGGAAGGGAGAGGUACAAAGGCUACACCUCAGUGAGCUGUCAGUGGUCUCAGGAUCAGAUGCCAACUGCAGUGCAUUGGUGAGGUUGUACCUUGGAGCUGAAUUCUUCAGAGCCUGGCACCUGGACAGAUGCAGGAGCAUUUCUCCUGAUGUAAACCACUGACCAAGCCUGGAACUGGAUGGAUCUGGCUGCAUCAAGGCUCCUUGGUUCCAUGGGUCAAGGAAUUUAGAAAGCAAAGGGGUCCACUCUGAAUACUGUGACUCAGCGGAAGGUCUCCUACAUGUGUGUUUACCCUACCAUCUAUGCAGUAAAUAAUCAAGUGUAGCCAGACAUCUCAAAUCUUAAGAUACUGCCUUAUUUACAGUUAAGCUUUGUUAAAUCAUGAUAUUGCAUUCAUAUUACAUCAAUGAACAAAUUCUAGCAAUAGUGUAGUUGUUUCAAGCCACGUCAGCUUGUGAGUUCUGCCCUGAUAGGAGGUCACAUCAGCAUGGUAUAUCUGAGUCCUGCUUUCACACAGUCCUCUGUUGUUUGAAAGUAGGAGCAGAAUUUGACACAUUAAGAAAAUUCUGCACCAUAAAACCUCUUGGUAAUUGCAGUUCAAGAAAUGUCACACUAAGUACAUCCCAAAUGUGCUCGUGGUUAUUUGGGUACUCUGAUAUUGCAAUGAAUGUUUUGUUGUAGUGUAAUUCCAUGUACAAUCACAAAGACUUUUUAACCAUGCAGUACCAUCAAAAGAAGUUUUCAUUUACCAGCAUAUGAUAGAGUUAAAUCGGUAUCCAGAAAAUCUUGUUUUUCUGUAUAAACAUCUCACUUUAAAUGGUCUUCUCAGAAGAAAAAUAAUUCUUGUUAAUUAUGCAUCUGGUCUUCAUACAAUUUUUAGUCAUCUUUUGUUUUCUUUUAAUUUAUCUGUGAAUAUAUUGAGGUUUGUUUAAUAAUACUGCAUAUUCCUCGGUGCUGAACUAAAAGACAACUCAGUUGUUGUUUACGAAAAUAACUUUGUGAGUUACAAUAGAAAUGACAGUGAUGCAAACUACAGUGAGAUAAGCAGCACUGUAACACUGGAGUCCCAUAAAAGAAUCAUCUCCAAUAGAACAGACCGUCAAGUUCACCAAGUCCAAUUAUCAAUAUGAAAUACAAAGCCCCAUCACAAAACUAUGUCCUGUAAAUAGUCUAGUGAAAAGAAGACCCACAGCUACCUGAGAUCUCAGAGGGGGCUGAAGGAAUGCUUUUCAUUAGUGGCUCCUCUGAGACAAAUUACAGACAGAAAUGCCAAUGCUCAUCUAAUACAACUCAUGUGACAGGCUUCAAGAGAGUUGAGGGUAAUUUACAGCUAGAGCUGGAUGGAAAAGUAAUCUAGAAAAUGUGAUAAAAAGCAGCAUUAGUUUUGGCCUAAAUUGGAAUGCAAAUAGGAAAUAUUUUCUCCCCAAGAUUUUGAUCUAGAAACAUUAAAAAUUGGCAACAAUGCAAACCAGCCUAACAUUCUUGAAACUGAAUAGUUUGCUGUAGUAUGUGUAGUAACACAGAUUAAAUUCUGGUGCAACAUCACUUAAAAUCAAUUUGUCGUGACUGAUAACAGAUCUCAGCUCUAUAAUGAAAAUAACUUUGUUUAAUAACCAUGUGAAUAACUUCAAGAUUAAGUCAUUUUUAAAAAAAUACGUCUUAAUUUAAAAAAUACACCUUUUCCAAUACUU